rnacentral:rRNA from 1 species
GUGAACGCUGGCGGUAGGCCUAACACGUGCAAGUCGCACGGCAGCACAGUAAGAGCUUGCUCUUACGGGUGGCGAGUGGCGGACGGGUGAGGAAUACAUCGGAAUCUACUUUUUCGUGGGGGAUAACGUAGGGAAACUUACGCUAAUACCGCAUACGACCUACGGGUGAAAGCAGGGGAUCUUCGGACCUUGCGCGAUUGAAUGAGCCGAUGUCGGAUUAGCUAGUUGGCGGGGUAAAGGCCCACCAAGGCGACGAUCCGUAGCUGGUCUGAGAGGAUGAUCAGCCACACUGGAACUGAGACACGGUCCAGACUCCUAAGGGAGGCAGCAGUGGGGAAUAUUGGACAAUGGGAGCAAGCCUGAUCCAGCCAUACCGCGUGGGUGAAGAAGGCCUUCGGGUUGUAAAGCCCUUUUGUUGGGAAAGAAAAGCAGCAGGUUAAUACCCCGCUGUUCUGACGGUACCCAAAGAAUAAGCACCGGCUAACUUCGUG